UGCCAAGUGUCGGGCUUUGCCGAGUGUCCGGCCGUCACCUACGGCCAUCUUUGCCAAGUGUCAGGCUUUGCCGAGUGUCUAGCUUUCGGUACAGAGAAUCUUUGCCGAGUGCCGUUCUGUGCCAAAUGCUCGGCACUCGGCAAAGUACCCUUUGUCGAGUGUUUUUCUUUGCCAAGGGCGACACUCGGCAAAGAGAAGCUUUGCCGAGUGCCGGACGUUUGGCACUCGGCAAAGCCUGUGAGACCUAGCCGGCUUUGUGAUCGACCAGGCCGGUUCGAUGGAGCCGAGUCCGUUCCUUGACAUCUUUAAUAGUAGGAGACUUAUUUCACAUGUAAUUUGUAUGUUUCCCACAAGAUCGUACGACUUUCCAACAACAAAAUCAUGAUUUGGCCUCAGACUGUGAAAAUUGGAUUAACUAGUUUUCAAAAUUGGUUUAGCCUACUAUACUUUGGGUGGGCGAAAACUUCCCAAGAAUGUAAUUUCUUCAUCCAAACACAAAUUUAGAUGAUCUAUGUUUCUUGAUCGUCUGAAUGAGAGGAACACAAUGGUGAAGUUUAUUAUUCAUUUCGAGGAAGUGUACAAAACUAGCUAAGCCUUUUUCUGAAGCUGCCUUUUCUUCAUCUAGACCCCAAACAGGAUGACCUAUUUAUGCUUUUCGAUCGUCUUGACGAGAGGAUGCAAUGGUGG
rnacentral:lncRNA from 1 species